UAAAAAGUACAAUCUUUCUCUCUGAAAUGUAGUGAAGUAGAGAGUGGCAUGAAAAGAAAACACUCAAGUGACUUACAGGUACCUCAAAUUUUUACUUAAGUACAGUACUUGAGUUACUGUACUUAGUUAUAUUCCACCACUAAUCAAGACAGACUAGUGUCUAUGUAAGGAUCU